CCAGCCAGGCUAACUCUGUGCCAGCAGCCGCGGUAAUACAGAGGGUGCAAGCGUUAAUCGGAUUUACUGGGCGUAAAGCGCGCGUAGGCGGCUAAUUAAGUCAAAUGUGAAAUCCCCGAGCUUAACUUGGGAAUUGCAUUCGAUACUGGUUAGCUAGAGUGUGGGAGAGGAUGGUAGAAUUCCAGGUGUAGCGGUGAAAUGCGUAGAGAUCUGGAGGAAUACCGAUGGCGAAGGCAGCCAUCUGGCCUAACACUGACGCUGAGGUGCGAAAGCAUGGGGAGCAAACAGGAUUAGAUACCCUGGUAGUCCAUGCCGUAAACGAUGUCUACUAGCCGUUGGGGCCUUUGAGGCUUUAAUGGCGCAGCUAACGCGAUAAGUAGACCGCCUGGGGAGUACGGUCGCAAGACUAAAACUCAAAUGAAUUGACGGGGGCCCGAACAAGCGGUGGAGCAUGUGGGUUU
rnacentral:rRNA from 1 species